rnacentral:rRNA from 1 species
CCUACGGGAGGCAGCAGUGAGGAAUAUUGGUCAAUGGCCGAGAGUCUGAACCAGCCAAGUAGCGUGAAGGAUGACGGCCCUAUGGGUUGUAAACUUCUUUUAUAUGGGAGUAAAAUGUUCCACGUGUGAGAUUUUGUAUGUACCAUAUGAAUAAGGAUCGGCUAACUCCGUGCCAGCAGCCGCGGUAAUACGGAGGAUCCGAGCGUUAUCCGGAUUUAUUGGGUUUAAAGGGUGCGUAGGUGGAUGGUUAAGUCAGUUGUGAAAGUUUGGGGCUCAACCCUAAAAUUGCCGUUGAUACUGGCAGUCUUGAGUGCAGGUGAAGUAGGCGGAAUGCGUGGUGUAGCGGUGAAAUGCAUAGAUAUCACGAAGAACCCCGAUUGCGAAGGCAGCAUACUAACCUGUAACUGACAUUGAUGCUCGAAAGUGUGGGUAUCAAACAGGAUUAGAUACCCUUGUAGUC